GGAGAGAUGCGAGAGUGGUUGAAUCGGGCGGCCUCGAAAGCCGUUGUACCGCUAGUCGGUACCGAGGGUUCGAAUCCCUCUCUCUCCG
rnacentral:tRNA from 1 species